rnacentral:rRNA from 1 species
UACGUAGGGGGCGAGCGUUGUCCGGUUUUAUUGGGCGUAAAGAGCGCGUAGGCGGCCGAGCAGGUCCGUUGUGAAAACUGAAGGCUCAACCUUCAGAGGUCGAUGGAAACCGUUCGGCUAGAGUCCGGAAGAGGAGAGUGGAAUUCCUGGUGUAGCGGUGAAAUGCGCAGAUAUCAGGAAGAACACCCGUGGCGAAAGCGGCUCUCUGGGACGGUACUGACGCUGAGACGCGAAAGCGUGGGGAUCGAACAGG